ACGGAGUAGGAUGCAAUCGCUGUUGCAAAAGCUUAGCUUCUGCAAGAGAGGAAAGUCCGGACUUCAUAGAAAAAGGUGCCAGCGAAAUGCUGGGGGCCGUAAGGCUACGGAAAGUGCAACAGAAAACAAGCCGCUAUCCAUUUGGAUAGAUAGGAUGAAAAUGCUAGGUUUGAGACCUAGCCCCUUGGUAGUAAUACUUUGGUGAUGCAAACCCCACCUGAAGCAAGAAAAGAGUUCGAACUGUUUUUCGCAAUGGAACUCUUUCAAGAUCGCUUGAGGAUCUUAGCAAUAAGGUCCCUAGAUGAAUGAUUGCAACUUGCAGUUUGCAAGUGACAGAAUCCGGCUUAUUCCUUCUCCGGGAAU
rnacentral:RNase_P_RNA from 1 species